GAUUUAAUACUUUAAACAAAAAGAUUUGACUUGCACUCAAGAAAUAGAUUAUUAAAUCUUUAGAUCA
rnacentral:tRNA from 1 species